GGCAGUUCUCAGCACCCUGGGAUUGGGUUCCUUCCUCUCUGGUUCUGGGUGCAUCACCCGAGAACUGCA
rfam:Myotis davidii contig148768, whole genome shotgun sequence.